rnacentral:rRNA from 1 species
AACGUAGGAGACAAAGGUUAUCCGGGGUUACUGGGCGUAAAGGGCGUGUAGGCGGUUAGUUAAGUCUGGCGUGAAAGCUCUCGGCUAAACCGGGAGAGGUCGUUGGAUACUGGCUGACUAGAGGACGGUAGAGGCGUGUGGAAUUCCGGGUGUAGUGGUGAAAUGCGUAGAGAUCCGGAGGAACACCAGUGGCGAAGGCGACACGCUGGGCCGUACCUGACGCUAAAGCGCGACAGCAUGGGGAGCAAACGGG